rnacentral:rRNA from 1 species
UACAGAGGGGGCAAGCGUUAUUCGGAAUUACUGGGCGUAAAGGGCUCGUAGGCGGCCUGCUAAGUCGAACGUGAAAUCCCCGAGCUCAACUCGGGAACUGCGUCCGAUACUGGCAGGCUUGAAUCCGGGAGAGGGAUGCGGAAUUCCAGGUGUAGCGGUGAAAUGCGUAGAUAUCUGGAGGAACACCGGUGGCGAAGGCGGCAUCCUGGACCGGCAUUGACGCUGAGGCGCGAAAGCUAGGGGAGCAAACGGGG